AGUGAACGCUGGCGGUAGGCCUAACACAUGCAAGUCGAACGGCAGCACAGUAAGAGCUUGCUCUUACGGGUGGCGAGUGGCGGACGGGUGAGGAAUACAUCGGAAUCUACUUUUUCGUGGGGGAUAACGUAGGGAAACUUACGCUAAUACCGCAUACGACCUACGGGUGAAAGCAGGGGAUCUUCGGACCUUGCGCGAUUGAAUGAGCCGAUGUCGGAUUAGCUAGUUGGCGGGGUAAAGGCCCACCAAGGCGACGAUCCGUAGCUGGUCUGAGAGGAUGAUCAGCCACACUGGAACUGAGACACGGUCCAGACUCCUACGGGAGGCAGUAGUGGGGAAUAUUGGACAAAGGGCGCAAGCCUGAUCCAGCCAUACCGCGUGGGUGAAGAAGGCCUUCGGGUUGUAAAGCCCUUUUGUUGGGAAAGAAAAGCAGCAGGUUAAUACCCCGCCGUUCUGACGGUACCCAAAGAAUAAGCACCGGCUAACUUCGUG
rnacentral:rRNA from 1 species